rnacentral:lncRNA from 1 species
CGAUUUAAACAAUCCAGUUGCAGCUCUCGCUUCUAAGUUGGAAGGUGAACGCGCCGAUUUAAACAAUCCAGUUGCAGCUCCCGCUUCUAAGGAUGAUGGUGAUAAAUCUGUUGAGAUAAUCAGUUACGGUCACAUGUUCAGCCCGUACAAAUCUCAUCUUCAACGUGAAUUUACUGAAGAGGAUCGAACAUAUGAAGCUCAAAGGAAGAGAUACAAGAGGCUCUCAGAAUGAAAAUGGAGUCAAGUUAUCAAUUUAGAUGAUUCUGAAGAAGAU